rnacentral:rRNA from 1 species
CAAUAGCGUAUAUUAAAGUUGUUGCAGUUAAAAAGCUCGUAGUUGGAUUUCUGGUAGGAGUGACCGUUCCGAACUUGAUUGUUCGUGUAUUGUGUUUUCUCCAGCCAUCCUUGUGGAGAACUUUUCUUGCAUUAAUUUGUAGGGAUUGGGACCCGCAUCGUUUACUGUGAAAAAAUUAGAGUGUUUAAAGCAGGCAAUCGCUUGAAUACAUUAGCAUGGAAUAAUAAGAUAGGACUUUGGUACUAUUUUGUUGGUUUGCAUACCAAAUUAAUGAUCAACAGGAACAGUUUGAGGAUAUUCGUAUGAACAUGUCAGAGGUGAAAUUCUUGGAUUUAUGAAGGACGAACUACUGCGAAAGCAUUUGCCAAGGAUGUUUUCAUUAA